GGUGGAUGGCAAUGUGGAUGCUAUGUCGGGUAUACCGCGAGAAAUAACACAGACUUUGACAGAGUUUGCGAAGAUAUCAACGAGUGCGAUGAUACUAGGUCUUGCGUUAAUGGAGAUUGCAUAAACAGAAACGGGACAUUUGAUUGUGCAUGUCAUGCUGGUUACACUAAUGAAUCUGCUGAUGAAGGAGCAUUGAAUAUAAACUGCACAGAUAUAAAUGAGUGUGAAACAAAUAAAGCCGAAAUCAACAACUGGUGUAUAAGGGGUUCCUGCUGUAAAUACACCUGGAGACUGGACGUGUAACUGCAAUGACACAAACUAUAGUACCUUCAGAGACCUAGGAGAUCACAAAUUCAGAU
rnacentral:lncRNA from 1 species